GUGUCCAUAACAAUUUGUUAAAAUUUAAUGAAAAAAAUAAAAUAAAUUUGACUAACCUAGUAGUUAUUUCAUAUUAUUAUUUUUCGAUGUGUGUAAACAAAUACCUCUGCGUACCUUUGCGCAUGCGCGAUGCGGGAAAUUGGAAACAUCAUAACAAAAAUGGCGAACACCCGAUCUAAGUGGAAGGGUCCUGAAUCAGUUUUAACCGAGAGCAAGAAGAAACGAAUAAUCGAGAACGUGAUUUUAACUUCACAAAGACGAACACGUAUCUUAGAGACAGAGCAAGCAGAUGGCAUCAGUUAAAAAAGACCGAAGGGAUUAAAACAGACCCUCCUUUGGCCAAGCUAAUGCCUUGAACAGUUUUGAAAGCAAGCCUGAGAUCUAGAGCGUACGUAUAAUGUAGAUCUGGUCAUAAAGAAACUGAAGCCAAGCAAUGAAGAUGACCACAGGCGACAUGGAGUACAUGCAGCCACUACGGACGACACUAUUACUAGUCGCACUUAGAUAUCACAGGAUUUAUAACACAAAAGUUCUUGGAGGACAAAAAGUGCCGUACAAGGUGGAAAGGACAUACCAACACAUCCAGGGACUCAUCAAUCUGAUAGUGGCCAACAGAAUAACAGAUAGAACUGGAAUAUCUAGCCAAAACCCUUGCAUCAAAUAGAUCCCAGAAGAUUCAAACUCCUAGCCCAUGCUCCUCCACCAUCUACUGCCCAAAUGGUAGAGGAGAAGAAAUCCCAAUUAAGAUGAAUGGGAAUAAUUGACAUUUUGAGACUAAUCACGUUCCAGAGACUAUUACUUUUGAAUAUCUGUCCUUACGUUUAGUAGCUGACCUGGUCCGAAGGACCAAGGUGAGUAUGCCAUACUGAGGCGUCCGGCAUUCGUCUGUCAACAUUGUGAACACAAUAUUUGAAUAACUUGAGUAAAUGUCAGAAUAUACCAAAUUUAAUAAAACUUUAUAAGCAGCCAUAUAUCGACAAGAUCUCAGACAACUUCAAAAAUAGAAAUUAUUGGACAGUAGUUUUUGACAGUAGUUUGCAGAGUUAUUGCCCUUUGUAAUGGUCUUAUUAUUAACAUUUUUUUAGUUCACUGGUCAGAAUGGAAACUCUUUUAGAAAUUCUACUAGUCCUGAACAAUUAAAUGGAUUUGAUGAAAUUUGGUCAGGAGAAUUAUGUGGCAAUGUUAUAUGUUGCAUAAAUGAAGCGUCACCAUCAUCUGAGUGGCACCUUUCGGGGCAAAAUAAGAGAAUUACCUGGUAUAGCAAAAAAAAAAA